rnacentral:rRNA from 1 species
AACGAACGCUGGCGGCAGGCUUAACACAUGCAAGUCGAACGCCCGUAGCAAUACGGGAGUGGCGGACGGGUGAGUAACGCGUGGGAACGUACCCUGAGGUACGGAAUAACCGAGGGAAACUUCGGCUAAUACCGUAUGAGCCCUGCAAGGGGGAAGAUUUAUCGCCUUGGGAGCGGCCCGCGUCGGAUUAGCUAGUUGGUGGGGUAACGGCCUACCAAGGCUUCGAUCCGUAGCUGGUCUGAGAGGACGAUCAGCCACACUGGGACUGAGACACGGCCCAGACUCCUACGGGAGGCAGCAGUGGGGAAUCUUGCGCAAUGGGGGCAACCCUGACGCAGCCAUGCCGCGUGAACGAUGAAGGCCUUAGGGUUGUAAAGUUCUUUUACCCGUGACGAUGAUGACGGUAACGGGGAAUAAGCUCCGGCUAACUUCGUG